ensembl:lncRNA
CUCGUGAACUCCGCUUGCGCGCUGGACUCCUCGGUGGGAGGAGACAAGAGCGCAAUUUGAAGAGGGUUCAAAGGGUGCGUGUUUUGGCUUGGCUUAAGGGCAAGUCUGUACUCAAAAUACGUAGUCACCGUGAUGCAUGCUCCUGUAAUCAGAAUUACUAGUAAUUCCGCUGCAGUAGAAGCGCCACUAACAGUUAUGAAGUUAUGGACUAACUGACAACCAAACCCUGCCAAGGUUUGUGACAUCAGUGCUAAAGGUGUGACCGGAAAUCUAAAACUACUUUAAAGAGUGAGUGAGCAGUGCAGAAGGCGGUUUCAUUGUUUUUCUUAACUAAUAUAUAUCUAUAAAAGCAAUAUACGUCAUCUUCCGUUUAAAGAUGAUUUUGAUUCGUAUCACUUCUCUUGGUGAUUUCACAAGUUUCACUGCAAACACUUAUAAUUAUAUAACUCUCUUUUCAACAUUCCAUCUCACUUCAACAACUGGGCCAACCAGCAGGUUAUGUGACAUCAUCACUGUAUUCAGCCAAUCACGGUCCAGCAUGCCGACAGGAUAUUUUGUUUGUUUUUUAUAUUCAGAGUUGUUUCAGUUUUGUGGGAAUCCCUGACUCUAAACUCAAGACACGGAGACAAUCAGAUUCGAUUGAUUGAUACGAAGAGGCACAGAGUUGUGACCUUUAAAAAUGUAAUACUGUAGUAAUAUUAAUCAACAAUAACAUUUAAUCUUAAUUCGAGUCUACCGCUUUUGUAGGCUCGUGUUUGCCCGUUGUAAUAUUUCCAAUAGCACCUGAAGGCAUCGGGAGCAGCAGAGCUGCCAACUGCAUCGGGCCAGAACAGGGGGUUGGGUCUUUUUUCUUGUUACUAGAUAUUGAGAUAUACUUUUAAAAGAUCUAUACAAGACGUAAAAUAAACAAAGUAGGGUAAUGUAAUCCUAAUGGUGUCAUUGUAAACUAGAAGUCAAAUGUUGGUACUGCUGCAUCAAGAGUUAUUUUAUAAACUCUGUAUUUGCACUCAAGAUUCAUUUUUGAACCUUGUUGAUUUUAUUCCAGUUAUUUAUUCAUACUAAUUGAACAACUUCAAAAUGAUUCUCAUGACACUAAAAAAAGAAAUGUUU